GCGGGUAUGGUGUAGUGGUAGCGCCUCAGCCUUCCAAGCUGAUGGGGCGGGUUCGAUUCCGCUACCCGCUCCA
rnacentral:tRNA from 1 species